CUAACUUUACUGCAGCAAUGAUGUAAAAUACGAAAUGAAUAUUAAAAAAAUGUUACAAAACAAAUCAUUUGUAUUAGUAUUUGAACCCAAUUGAAGAAACAAUACAAAAAUUAGCUGUCUUCAAGGACUACUUGAACUAGAUUGAGUAGAAAAUAGCUAAAUUCGACAAUGUCUUAGAAACUCGGUGAAGGAAAAUCUAUUACUAGUUUAAAGCAUUGCUUCUCAAAUCCGUACUUGUAGUUCUUCACCAUCACCUUGACCUGUUCCAAAAGAUACAAAAAUUUGCACUGAGUUACAAAAAAUAAAAUAAUUGAGUAUAAAACUAUCUACUCCAUGUUGUUAAUAGUUUAGCACCUAUGUUCGUUAUCAAAUUCAGACCAGGUCUUUGGAUGGAGAAUCAUUAGCCUCAAUUUUGAAUUAAAUUGCAUCAUACAUAUAAUAGUUGUCCAUCUCUACCAAAUUUUUAUACGACCAGAAAAAUAAGUAAUCAAGCAUUGAACAUAUAAGGGGAUUACCUACGACCUCAAUCACCUAACGUACCAUGUCCUCAGGUAGUAUGUUACAUCCAACAUCCAAUACCUGAAUCCAUAAAAACUUCUUGAAUACAUAAGCAUAUCUAUUGUUAGUAUAUAUAUUCUAUUACAAAUGAAAACAUGCAAAAAAUCUUAUAUAUCAGUUGAUUAACAACAAUAUAGAAAAUAUGGAUUAAAUUUAUUAUGGACAAGAUAAUCACUAUAAGAAAAAAAUUCAUCAACGUACAAAAUCAAUGUAAGUACCUUGUGAUCCUUUGUCCUCUCUCUUGAUAAAAAUUGUCCUAAAUGUUCCGCCAAGAUAUUUAAGGCUGUAAUAUAUAAAAUGAUAAUUAUAUAGUAUGCAAUCGCUUAAAUAGGUUAAACCGAAUAAUAUAUUUUCAGAGUAUCGAAAUUAAAAAAAUACGAAAUCGUUUAGCAUGAACAAUAAUCCAAACAAAUUCAGAAUACUAAAUCAUUCAGCAUAAAUAAUACACCAAACAAAUUCAAAAUAUUAAAUCUUUCAGUAUAAACAAUAAACCAAAUAAAUCAAAAUACUAAAUCAUGCACUAUUAGAUGUGAACAUCUGCAAUUGCGACUAAAAACUCACUAGUAGUGCAAAUAAUAUGUUAGGAGGACCAAGUACAAGAAAUAAAUCAAUGUUACCAGUCAUGAAUGAUGAAACUCCACACACCAAGACAAAGAAUCGCCCUAACACCUCAUAUAUUUCUCUAGCCAUUAAUUUCAAAUGAGCGUUGCUUGAAUAUGUAGAGUAAGAGGUUCCCAAAAC
rnacentral:lncRNA from 1 species